rnacentral:rRNA from 1 species
GACGAACGCUGGCAGCGUGCCUAAUACAUGCAAGUCGAGCGGACAGAAGGGAGCUUGCUCCCGGAAGUUAGCGGCGGACGGGUGAGUAACACGUGGGCAACCUACCCUGUAGAUCGGGAUAACAUCGAGAAAUCGGUGCUAAUACCGGAUAAUCAUUUGAAGUGCAUGCUUCGAAUGUAAAAGAUGGCUCCGGCUAUCACUACGGGAUGGGCCCGCGGCGCAUUAGCUAGUUGGUAAGGUAAUGGCUUACCAAGGCAACGAUGCGUAGCCGACCUGAGAGGGUGAUCGGCCACACUGGGACUGAGACACGGCCCAGACUCCUACGGGAGGCAGCAGUAGGGAAUCUUCCGCAAUGGACGAAAGUCUGACGGAGCAACGCCGCGUGAGUGAUGAAGGUUUUCGGAUCGUAAAGCUCUGUUGUUAGGGAAGAACAAGUGCCGUUUGAAUAAGGCGGCACCUUGACGGUACCCAACCAGAAAGCCACGGCUAACUACGUGCCAGCAGCCGCGGUAACAC